rnacentral:rRNA from 1 species
GAAUUCGCCCUUGGGGAAUUUUCCGCAAUGGGCGCAAGCCUGACGGAGCAACGCCGCGUGAGGGAGGAAUGUCUGUGGAUUGUAAACCUCUUUUCUCUGGGAAGAAGCUCUGACGGUACCAGAGGAAUCAGCAUCGGCUAACUCCGUGCCAGCAGCCGCGGUAAGACGGAGGAUGCAAGCGUUAUCCGGAAUUAUUGGGCGUAAAGCGUCCGUAGGCGGUUAGAUAAGUCAGUUGUUAAAGACUGCAGCUCAACUGUGGGAGAGCAACCGAAACUGUCUGACUAGAGUAUGGUAGGGGUAGAGGGAAUUCCUAGUGUAGCGGUGAAAUGCGUAGAUAUUGGGAAGAACACCAGUGGCGAAGGCGCUCUACUGGGCCACGACUGACGCUGAUGGACGAAAGCUAGGGGAGCGAAAGGGAUUAGAUACCCCUGUAGUCAAGGGCGAA